rnacentral:rRNA from 1 species
GGCGCACGGGUGAGUAACACGUAUGCAACCUACCUUCAGCACGGUUUAUAACCCGUUGAGAAACGGACUAAUACCCGAUAAUACAGGUGCGCCUCAUGGCGAUAUUUGUUAAAGAUUUAUCGGUUGAAGAUGGGCAUGCGUAUGAUUAGCUAGUUGGCGGGGUAACGGCCCACCAAUGCAACGAUCAUUAGGGGUUCUGAGAGGAAGUGUCCCCCACACUGGUACUGAUACACGGACCAGACUCCUACGGGAGGCAGCAGUGAGGAAUAUUGGUCAAUGGACGAGAGUCUGAACCAGCCAAGUCGCGUGAAGGAUGACGGUCCUAUGGAUUGUAAACUUCUUUUGUGCAGGAAUAAAGUGAGGAACGUGUUCCUAUUUUGUAUGUACUGUACGAAUAAGCAUCGGCUAACUCCGUGCCAGCAGACGCGGUAAUACGGAGGAUGCGAGCG